rnacentral:lncRNA from 1 species
UUGGGUCCUGAUGGAGAUAAUAACUGGAUAUUUGAUAUUUCACCCCACCUUUGCUGGUUUGGUCUUCAACUCUUGAGUUUGCCACUUAUAUUCAUAUUCAAAUUGUCAUUCACUAUCAUAUGCCUUGAACAACUUUAAAAUUACAAGCUCUCAAGUUCCGGUUUUACUUGCUUUCCUCAACAAACAUCUUUCUUGUUCAUUAAAUUGAUAGAUAUGGCUUUCCCAAGCUAUGCGUAUGAAUAAAGAAUAAAAUAAAAUUGACAGAGAUCUUCCAGGAAUUAACAUUUUCUGGACCUGGCACAACAUCCCUUAUAAGUUUGCUGCCAUUGAUGAUCACUUUGCUACUUGGUGCAGAAACUCCGACCACUUUGAUUCUAAGUGUGCAGCAAGAGUUAGCAAAUUGAUGGGGAUCGCAAUUAUGGACCAAGUAUAAGAAGAAGAGGAAAUAACUGGUAGAAACUGCAGCGCCAAACAUAAAAACAGCUACAAGAGGGUGAAC